rnacentral:misc_RNA from 1 species
AUGUUUAAAUCUGUCCUUUAUCUCUUUAUUUUAUUUUUGCGGGUAAUAGCUUUUUCCCACUUUUUCCAAGUAACAAUGUCUUUCGGCACUCGAAGUAAAGAACGUUUCUGCUCGGUUCUACUGCCGGUCUUGCAAGUCGGUACCGCACACCAUUUCGUCAUUUCAAUAAACGUUUCGAUAACUUUUGUAGUCAAUAACCGUUUUUCAAUGAGAGUCAUGAACACACGUGGGUUCUUAUCUCCGGUUUUUCAGGUUAUAUUUAUCUGCGGACAUCGAUGACAGCGACGAGUAGUGGUUAUGCUAGAAACUAAAUGUGUCUUCGAAAAGAGGCCAUACUCCCACCACUGAAAGUAGGGGUAGUUUCCAGCCUGUAUGUAAGACCGUGGUCACACCAAUUGACACAUGGCUGUCGGUUUUUAAUAGUGUCUCGUCGGUGCGUUCGCUGAUUGGAGCGCCCGUAGUAACAGCGGUUGCUAUUCUGUAGGCGUGAGAUUAAAUUUGAGAAAACUUUGAUAGAUGACACCAUGGUCUGUGUCACCUUUCAGAAAAUCUGUAGCAGUUUGUAUCGCUUGUAUGCGACUAAUUAGUCCCGUGAUUUAGUUUUUCUAAAUACUUGUUUUCCUCACGGGAGAAGAUGAUACACAGCCUUUUUAUCAUAAAUUCGUCCGGGGAUGUUUUCAUGGAGAAACAUUGGAAAAGUGCAGUCGCACGUUCACUCUGCGACUACUUCUUCGACCAACAGCGGAGAGUCUUGUCUCCGGAGGAUACUCCGCCAGUGAUAGCGACUCCCCAUCAUUACCUCAUCAGCAUUUAUCGUUGUAACAUGUUCUUCGUAGCAGUCUGCAUGACAGAGGUUCCACCGUUGUUCGUUAUUGAAUUCCUGCACAGAGUAGUGGAUACCUUCGAGGAUUAUUUCAGCGAAUGCACGGAAACAAUCAUAAAGGAGAAUUAUGUAGUUGUGUACGAAUUGCUCGACGAGAUGUUGGACAAUGGUUUUCCCCUGGCGACGGAAUCAAACAUAUUGAAGGAAUUGAUCAAACCGCCUAACAUCUUACGCACCAUAGCGAACACCGUUACAGGCAAAUCCAACGUUAGCGCGACUCUACCCAGUGGCCAACUGUCCAACGUUCCUUGGAGACGAAGCGGAGUAAAAUACACCAACAACGAGGCCUACUUCGAUGUUGUCGAAGAAGUAGACGCAAUUAUUGAUCGCACUGGAGCGACUGUGUUCGCAGAGAUUCAAGGCUACGUCGACUGUUGCAUAAAAUUAAGUGGCAUGCCCGAUCUCACGCUCUCGUUCAUGAAUCCAAGAUUGUUCGACGAUGUCAGCUUCCACCCCUGCGUCAGGUUCAAAAGAUGGGAGUCGGAAAGGAUACUUUCUUUCAUUCCACCUGACGGUAACUUCCGCCUUCUCUCAUAUCACAUAGGAUCCCAGAGUAUCGUAGCGAUCCCGAUAUAUGUGAGACACAAUAUCAGUCUGAAGGAACCGGGAGGUGGUAGACUGGACAUAACAGUCGGACCGAAGCAGACUAUUGGCAGGACAGUUGAAAAUGUAACUCUCGAAAUUCCCAUGCCAAAAAUCGUCUUGAAUUGCACCCUGACUCCAAACCAAGGGAAAUACUCGUUCGAUCCCGUCAGUAAAGUGCUGCUGUGGGAUAUUGGGAGAAUCGACGUUUCAAGGCUGCCAAAUCUCAGAGGAUCGAUCACGAUACAAACUUCGGCGGCAGUUACUGAAUCGAAUCCCGCUAUUAAUGUACAUUUCACAAUUAAUCAGUUAGCCGUAUCCGGAUUAAAGGUGAAUCGGCUGGACAUGUACGGCGAAAAAUACAAACCCUUCAAAGGUGUUAAGUACAUCACUAAAGCCGGCAAAUUUCAAAUAAGAAUGUAAAUGUAGUGUAUAUUAAGAUUAUCGGACAUAAAUCACCCUGUAUACUUCGACAGAAACACCCUGUAUAAGUAAAUUUACAGGCGUAAUAAAUCCACAUGACAUUAAAGAUAUACUUUGUAACAAUUUAUUAUGCAUAAAGAUGACAAAAAAAGAGAGCACUACUAUAAAAAUAUAUUAAAUAAAAUUUUAAAUGCAUUGAUUUUAAGUAAAUCGAGUACGUUUGUGUUGUACCUAUUCUUGUACCUUUAAACAAUAAAAUAACACUUACAUA